rnacentral:rRNA from 1 species
UCGCCUGUUUAUCAAAAACAUCUCCCCUUGGAAUUUAUAAGGGGUACCGCCUGCUCAAUGCAUUAGUAAAUAGCCGCAGUAUUCUGACUGUGCUAAGGUAGCAUAAUCAUUAGUCUCUUAAUUAGAGGCUGGUAUGAAUGGUGAGACGAGAAAAAAGCUGUCUCUAAAAUAAUUUUUGAAUUUUAUUUUUAAGUGAAAAAGCUUAAAUGAAUUUGGGGGACGAUCAGACCCUUUGGAGCUUUAUUAUUUUGGAGUUUUAGGUUACUUUUGAUAACAAAAAUUUUAUUGUAAUUUUGUUGGGGCGACAAAAAGUAAAAAAGACCACUUUUUUAAAAAAACAUAAAUAUAUGGAAAAUUGAUCCCUAUUGAAGGAUUAAAAGACUAAGUUACCCUAGGGAUAACAGCGUAAUCUUUUUGGAGAGUUCAUAUCG